rnacentral:rRNA from 1 species
AGUGAACGCUGGCGGUAGGCCUAACACAUGCAAGUCGAACGGCAACACAGUAAGAGCUUGCUCUUACGGGUGGCGAGUGGCGGACGGGUGAGGAAUACAUCGGAAUCUACUUUUUCGUGGGGGAUAACGUAGGGAAACUUACGCUAAUACCGCAUACGACCUACGGGUGAAAGCAGGGGAUCUUCGGACCUUUCGCGGUUGAAUGAGCCGAUGUCGGAUUAGCUAGUUGGCGGGGUAAAGGCCCACCAAGGCGACGAUCCGUAGCUGGUCGGAGUGGAUGAUCAGCCACACUGGAACUGAGACACGGUCCAGACUCCUACGGGAGGCAGCAGUGGGGAAUAUUGGACAAUGGGCGCAAGCCUGAUCCAGCCAUACCGCGUGGGUGAAGAAGGCCUUCGGGUUGUAAAGCCCUUUUGUUGGGAAAGAAAAGCAGCAGGUUAAUACCCCGCUGUUCUGACGGUACCCAAAGAAUAAGCACCGGCUAACUUCGUG